UUCUGGUUAAAGUUUAACUGUCAUUUGGGGCCUUCUGUCAGUUGGAAUUCUCAGUAUGCAAAAGUGAAGGAGGUAUGCAUAUUUUGAUUGGUUGCUGCAGAUUUAGAAUCUUCAGUUAAGUAGUGUGUUUGGAUGGGGCUGGACUAGAGGGCUCAGAAGAAGUGUAUAUAAGGGCAGGUGUUAGACAGCAGAAGUUAGUUGGUUGGAGUUGUUGGGGUUCAUGGAGGCAGCCAGAAGAAGAUGAUAGCAGAGUGAGAAGGCAGUAGAUGAAGAGGACUAGAUAAAGAGAAGGGAGACCUGAGUUGCAGAUGGAAUGGCUUGGUGGCCAAAUACUUGGUGGGGUAGCUGGAUCACUGGGCUUGGGCUGAGGAGGCAAGGGAAAGAACUUGUCUGCAGCAAUGACGGGAGAAGAGAGAAGCAACUUUGAAUGCUGACCUACAGUGACUGGUAGGAGUACCAGAGGGGAGAUUUCCAGGGCAAUAAAGGCAAACCUAUGUUUUAAUAGGAGUUCAUUGAAUGGGUUCCUGGCCCACCCAACAGGUUGUUCUGAGCUGAGAUACCUACCUGGAUCACAUGCUAUGCAGACAGAUGGAUCGCUGCUUCCUGUGUUUGCAUUGUUCCACGUGGGCAGGCAGAUGGAACAAGAGUUCCUGGAAGGAUACAUAGAUGAGAGAAUCCCCCUUUGGGUACUGAAACAAGGGAGCUGAAAACAGCAAGAAGGCUCUUAAGGGGCAUCCAAAGGAAUACAACCAUGACAAAAGGGGUCAGGAGGUCCACUCUGGAGAUACGACUUACCUGUUGGAGCUGCUAGCCCAGGAGAUGAGCAAAAUUUCCCUGGUGGGCAGUU